rnacentral:rRNA from 1 species
ACACGUACUACAAUGGCCGGUACAAAGGGCAGACCACUCAGCGAUGAGGCGCUAAUCCCAUAAAGACCGGUCCUCAGUCCGGUAUCGCAGUCUGCAACUCGACUGCGUGAAGUUGGAAUCGCUAGUAAUCGUAGAUCAGCAUGCUACGGUGAAUACGUUCCCGGGCCUU